AGUGAAUAGAUACCCCGGUAGUCCUAGCCGUAAACGAUACUCGCUAGGUGUCGGCCACGGUGCGACCGUUGUCGGUGCCGUAGGGAAAGCCGUGAAGCGAGCCACCUGGGAAGUACGGCCGCAAGGCUGAAACUUAAAGGAAUUGGCGGGGGAGCACCACAACGGGUGGAGCUUGCGGUUUAAUUGGAUUCAACGCCGGAAAUCUUACCGGGACCGACAGCAAUAUGAAGGCCAGGCUGAAGACUUUGCCGGAUUAGCUGAGAGGUGGUGCAUGGCCGUCGUCAGUUCGUACUGUGAAGCAUCCUGUUAAGUCAGGCAACGAGCGAGACCCACGCCACAGUUGCCAGCGUACUCUCCGGAGUGACGGGUACACUGUGGGGACCGCCGCUGCUAAAGCGGAGGAAGGAAUGGGCAACGGUAGGUCAGUAUGCCCCGAAUAUCCCGGGCUACACGCGAGCUACAAUGGUUGGUACAAUGGGUAUCUACCCGGAAACGGGAUGAAACUCUCCUAAAGCCAAUCUUAGUUCGGAUUGA
rnacentral:rRNA from 1 species